AACACCUAGAGAUCUUGGUAAAAUGCAGAUUCUGAUCCAGCAGUUCUGGGAUGGGGCCAAGGAUUCUACAUUUCUAACAAGCUCCCUGGUGAUCCUGA
rnacentral:pre_miRNA from 1 species